rnacentral:rRNA from 1 species
AGUGAACGCUGGCGGUAGGCCUAACACAUGCAAGUCGAACGGCAGCACAGUAAGAGCUUGCUCUUACGGGUGGCGAGUGGCGGACGGGGGAGGAAUACAUCGGAAUCUACUUUUUCGUGGGGGGUAACGGAGGGAAACUUACGCUAAAACCGCAUACGAACUACGGGGGAAAGCAGGGGAGCUUCGGACCUUGCGCGAUUGAAUGAGCCGAUGUCGGAUUAGCUAGUUGGCGGGGUAAAGGCCCACCAAGGCGACGAUCCGUAGCUGGUCUGAGAGGAUGAUCAGCCACACUGGAACUGAGACACGGUCCAGACUCCUACGGGAGGCAGCAGUGGGGAAUAUUGGACAAUGGGCGCAAGCCUGAUCCAGCCAUACCGCGUGGGUGAAGAAGGCCUUCGGGUUGUAAAGCCCUUUUGUUGGGAAAGAAAAGCAGCAGGUUAAUACCCCGCUGUUCUGACGGUACCCAAAGAAUAAGCACCGGCUAACUUCGUG